rnacentral:rRNA from 1 species
UACGAAGGGGGCUAGCGUUGUUCGGAAUUACUGGGCGUAAAGCGUAUGCAGGCGGAUCGUUAAGUCGGGGGUGAAAUCCCGAGGCUCAACCUCGGAACUGCCUUCGAUACUGGCGAUCUUGAGUCCGGGAGAGGUGAGUGGAACUCCGAGUGUAGAGGUGAAAUGCGUAGAUAUUGGGAGGAACACCAGUGGCGAAGGCGGCUCACUGGACCGGAACUGACGCUGAUGCGCGAAAGCGUGGGGAGCAAACGGG